rnacentral:tRNA from 1 species
UGGCUCAAUGGUAGAGCGUUCGACUCAAUAACCAAAUGUCAUGGGUUCGAAUCCCAG